UUGCCUUGUGGAGGUAGAGCUACUGGAUGGCCGAUGGGCCCUGUGGGUUACUGACGUCAGCUAAACUCCGAAUGCCAUAAGGUGUGAGCAUGGCAGUGAGACUGCGGGGGAUAAGCUUCGUAGUCGAGAGGGAAACAGCCCAGAUCAUCAGCUAAGGCCCCUAAGUGUGCGCUAAGUGGGAAAGGAUGUGAGAUCGCGGUGACAACCAGGAGGUUGGCUUAGAA
rnacentral:rRNA from 1 species